rnacentral:rRNA from 1 species
AUACGAAGGGUGCAAGCGUUAAUCGGAAUUACUGGGCGUAAAGCGCGCGUAGGUGGUUCGUUAAGUUGGAUGUGAAAGCCCCGGGCUCAACCUGGGAACUGCAUCCAAAACUGGCGAGCUAGAGUAUGGCAGAGGGUGGUGGAAUUUCCUGUGUAGCGGUGAAAUGCGUAGAUAUAGGAAGGAACACCAGUGGCGAAGGCGACCACCUGGGCUAAAACUGACACUGAGGUGCGAAAGCGUGGGGAGCAAACAGGAUUAGAUCCCCUGGUAGUCCACGCCGUAAACGAUGUCGACUAGCCGUUGGGAUCCUUGAGAUCUUAGUGGCGCAGCUAACGCAUUAAGUCGACCGCCUGGGGAGUACGGCCGCAAGGUUAAAACUCAAAUGAAUUGACGGGG